rnacentral:rRNA from 1 species
GAUGCUGACGAGCGGCGGACGGGAGAGUAAUGCAUAGGAAUCUGCCCGAUAGUGGGGGAUAACCUGGGGAAACCCAGGCUAAUACCGCAUACGUCCUACGGGAGAAAGGGGGCUCCGGCUCCCGCUAUGGGAUGAGCCUAUGUCGGAUUAGCUAGUUGGUGAGGUAACGGCUCACCAAGGCCGCGAUCCGUAGCUGGUCUGAGAGGAUGAUCAGCCACAUCGGGACUGAGACACGGCCCGAACUCCUACGGGAGGCAGCAGUGGGGAAUAUUGGACAAUGGGCGCAAGCCUGAUCCAGCCAUGCCGCGUGUGUGAAGAAGGCCCUCGGGUUGUAAAGCACUUUCAGCGAGGAAGAACGCCUAGCGGUUAAUACCCGCUAGGAAAGACAUCACUCGCAGAAGAAGCACCGGCUAACUCCGUGCCAGCAGCCGCGGUAAUACGGAGGGUGCAAGCGUUAAUCGGAAUUUACUGGGCGUAAAGCGCGCGUAGGUGGCUUGAUAAGCCGGUUGUGAAAGCCCCGGGCUCAACCUGGGAACGGCAUCCGGAAACUGUCAAGCUAGAGUGCAGGAAAGGAAGGUAGAAUUUCCCGGGUGUAGCGGUGAAAUGGCGUAGAGAUCGGGGAGGA